AUUCCUCUCAGUUCCGUAUCAUCUGCAAACUUGCUGAGGGUGCAAUCCAUUCCAUCAUCCAGAUGAUUAAUGGAGAUGUUGAACAAACCAGCCUCACCCCUG